rnacentral:rRNA from 1 species
GAUGAACGCUAGCGGCAGGCCUAACACAUGCAAGUCGAGGGGCAGCACGUCUUCGGAUGGUGGCGACCGGCGCACGGGUGCGUAACGCGUAUGCAACCUACCUCUUACAGUGGGAUAGCCCAGAGAAAUUUUGGAUUAAUACCGCAUAGUAUACAGAUUCAGCAUUGGGACUGUAUUAAACAUUUAUGGGUAAGAGAUGGGCAUGCGUUCUAUUAGUUAGUUGGAGUGGUAACGGCACCCCAAGACAGCGAUAGAUAGGGGCCCUGAGAGGGGGAUCCCCCGACACUGGUACUGAGACACGGACCAGACUCCUACGGGAGGCAGCAGUGAGGAAUAUUGGACAAUGGGCGAGAGCCUGAUCCAGCCAUGCCGCGUGCAGGAAGACGGCCCUANGGGUUGUAAACUGCUUUUUG